UACGGGGGGGGCAAGCGUUGUUCGGAAUUACUGGGCGUAAAGGGCUCGUAGGCGGCCAACUAAGUCAGACGUGAAAUCCCCAGGCUUAACCUGGGAACUGCGUCUGAUACUGGAUGGCUUGAAUUCGGGAGAGGGAUGCAGAAUUCCAGGUGUAGCGGUGAAAUGCGUAGAUAUCUGGAGGAAUACCGGUGGCGAAGGCGGCAUCCUGGGCCGAUAUGACGCUGAGGAGCG
rnacentral:rRNA from 1 species